AUCCAGCUGACGAGUUUCGAAUACGACGAAACGUGCGUCGUGGAU
rfam:Schistosoma rodhaini strain Burundi genome assembly, scaffold: SROB_scaffold0000400